AUUUUGCGUUGGGAAUUUAUAAACCCAAAGCAUUUAACGUCUGUUUUAGAGUGAAAUCAAACAGUUUCGUAGUUAGAUCAGAAAUGAAACUCUUUCUUUUGCUCCUUUUGGCACUUCAAACUCAAACCGGUUUUUGUCUCGUUUGCUACUCAACCAAUCUCGUGGGAUUAAGAGGGGGCCAGUUCAGGACAAAUGUACAAAAUUGUGAUACCAAUUUUAAGAGACUUUUAAUAAUGCAAUGGAGGGGCAAGUCAACUUUAAAACUUGCGCAAAAUCUUGAAUACAGUUGUUAUAAAAUUGUUACACCUUCAGGAAGCAAACGAACUGCAAUUAGAGGGUGUGUUCCCCGUGGUGGGUGCAAUUUGGCGAAAAAUGCUGUAAAUUAUAUGAGGGAAAACAAUUACAGGUUGGGUAAUUAUGACGAUUUUAAUUGCUACGAAUGUUAUGAAGAUAGGUGUAAUGUGGGUGCGCCAAAAGAGGCGUUUUGCGUUUUUAUUUUAAUUUCGACGUUGCUUGUUUCAGUAGUUUAAAUAAAAAUAUGUUAAUUAACCCCCACUUUUUCAUCCUCAUCCAAUAUUAAAUCCCUACCUAUUUAUAUUUGUCCUACUUCAGUCUCUCUAUAGUGAUUGAUCUAACAUGAAGCUCUCUGUUUCACUCCUUGUUAUUACAAUCGCACUUUUCCCCAACUUUCCCACAGGUUUUGGUUUCGAGUGUUGGUCCAAUGACGAAAAUGGCCCAAAAGUCCCCGGUUUUUUCAAAUACAAACUCGAAGAUUGUGACGAGAAUUUGGACAUACUUUACGGAAAUCCAGAGUCAAAUCGUCGCAUAGUUCACAAAAGGGAUUUCGAAUUCGCUUGUUAUAAACUAGUUGUGGACACAGGGAAACUACCCAUCGAAAUGAAAGGUUGUGUGCCUAAAAAUGGCUGCACCGACUUGAAAACAAACUUUGAGGCACAUGCGGCCACAGCUGGACCUGAUGCAGUUCCAGUGAAAAGUGUGACGUGUUACGAGUGUGGCCAAAGUGGUUGCAAUUCGGGGGAAAAACCCAAAGUUCUGGCAAGCGUCGCAGUUUUGCUAGUAACUAUCGCACGGCUAGUUUGAAAUAAUCGAUCCACAACUUGCCAUGAAAUAUUUAUUUUCAACCAUUUAAAAGUAUGUUAUUGUAAGACAGAUGCACAAAAAUCGAGAUGAGUAUUGAUUUGGUGCAAACGCUCAAAACUGUUUUUCCGGAAACUUGGCCUCCGGACUGGACACGCGGGCGCCACUGUGACAUUAAAGGUUUCCCCGAUUUAUUAGACUUGCACAUUUGAUGUACAAAAACUUGUAAAAAUAUUAUUAAACAUAUAUUAUUUUU